rnacentral:lncRNA from 10 species
AGGCACAGCGGCUCAACCCAGAAGGCAGACAGUGAGCGAAGACAGACCAGAUCUUGCAGAAGGUGGGCUACCCGGGCCCCAAGUCCAAGCCGAGGAAGGACAGAGGCCACUCACCAGGAUGUAGGCUUCCAGCUGUAAUGAAGACACAGAUGCAGUGAGCAAAUCUUCCAGCAAACCCCAAACCCUUUCAACAUGCUCAUGCAUGGCCUCGGUCCCCGGGACAGGCAGUCGCUGUUAUGGGUUAAACAGUGUCCCCCUAGAUUACAUCCGUUGAAUCCUAACCCCAAGUAGGGUCUUUAGAAAGACUCAUUACAGGUGUGUGUCAGGCACCUGUAGUUCCAGCUACUCUGGAGGCUGAGGCACACCAAUCACUUGAACCUGGGAGGCAGAGGUUGCCAUGAGCUG